CCUAAAACUCAUGGUUGAAGCCCACAUGUAGUGGAAUACAAAUGUGCCGAGAUAAGGAUCUUUUCUGAAUCUCGCAAUUUUGGUGGCAUACCAUGCACGUUUGUUGCUAUGGAUGCUUUUACCUCUGUUUAGAAGGCAAUACAGCUAAGAGAUAGAGUUUCAGAGACAUAAAAUGUGUGAAAUGAAUAACCUGCCAUGUGUAUGCACAUGUACCGGAUCUGCUUGAUGAAAGUCAAAUGCCUUACUACUAUAAAUUCAUCACCCAUAUGAUUAAACAUCAGGAAAUUUAUCUCAACAUGUUGUAUGUAAUGCUGUUGGUUUCUGUGAAUUCCAUUUUUACGGUUUUUUCAUCAUGAACAUUUCAGUGUGCUUCUUAGAAACGAGCACGCAAGAUCCCCACGGACAUCCUUGAGCUAAUGCUUGAUUUUGUCCAUGACAGAAGAGGGACUUCCAUCAUGCUCCAUCCUUAUCUUCAAGACGUACGCUCAUCCUGCUUCAGUGCUUCUUAUGCUGCAAAACAACUUUUCUUGCUUCACUGGCGAGUUGGAUCACUUCAGUUGCUGUGACACACCUGCAGUCACUUACCACGGGAUUAUGGCCAGAGGAGACGUUGAGAAGAUGGAUUUUCUCAUCUUUAAAAAUCGUCACCGGUCUCCGUCGGAUGUUGCCCCUGCUCCUGGUGCGAACGAAACUCGGUGGAAUCGCGACCGACACCGAGACUCGUCAUCAACGUGGAUCAUCGCGGCCGACACUGAGACUCGUCAUCAACGCUGAUCAUCGUAUUGUUGGUAU